UACGGGGGGGGCAAGCGUUGUUCGGAAUUACUGGGCGUAAAGCGUGCGUAGACGGUUAUAUAAGUCGGGUGUGAAAGCCCCGGGCUCAACCUGGGAAUUGCAUUCGAGACUGCAUAGCUAGGGUGCGGAAGAGGGAAGCGGAAUUUCCGGUGUAGCGGUGAAAUGCGUAGAUAUCGGAAGGAACAUCAGUGGCGAAAGCGGCUUCCUGGUCCAGCACCGACGUUCAGGCACGAAAGCGUGGGGAGCAAACAGG
rnacentral:rRNA from 1 species